rnacentral:lncRNA from 1 species
UAGGUUAGCUAUUCUCGAAGGAUAUGAUCUCAGUUAAAGACGUAUUUCCUUAUCGAGAAAGGAACUCUUAUCGGGGCGAUCGGUAUCGUCCUGCUGCGUAAGCACGGCCCUGGCGAGUUAUCAAGCACGGCCCUGGCGAGUUAUCGAACGCUGCUAGCGUGCUCCAUCGCGUCAAGCAGAGCGAGAAAAAGGCCGAGGGUAGAGCUUGUUUCUACCUCCUACAGUGGUUACCGAAGCUUCUAUACGCGCUCCUAUGUACAACACACCAGUAAGCCGCGCAGAAGAGUAAUCAAAGAAAGCCGAUUCGUUCUUCUUAUAGUCCAGGUGCAGGAAAGCCGGCCUCGAGGUCGAGGCGGAAUCAUUUAUAAAGUCUACACUGCAACCAGUUAGGAACAUUAAGACACACCACAACCUGGUAGAAGUCAUCAGAAUUCUCAUAAACCGACUUGAACCCAUAUCGGUGGCUCAAGGUCGUCGUCGGACAGGCCCUGCUGGAGCUUCGAAGUUAGUUCACGUCGUUCGUUGUCGAAGAACUUAACGAAGAAAAGAGCGCAAGGCUUGGCAAAAGAGAAGAGGAGAGAAGGUCUUGCGGAUCGAGGUAACUGAGUGGAGCAAAGGGUGGAGAGGGGAAAGCCGUAUGGAGUCGAGAAGAGAGAGAACCGGUUGGUUCCUUCCUUGGCUUGGUCGACUCCUCGAGUAAGGACUCGCUCGACUGGACUACCGACUAAUUAGCCAUCGAAAAGACAACGACAGAAACCCAACAGCGUCGAGACCCACGGCUUCGAACGUUAAUUGAAUAAUUUGCAUCCCACCUGCCUGGUUUCCGGCAGCAGAAGUGCAGCUGCUACGAGACACGCAUAAGGUCAGGGUGGAACCUACUUCUUCCUCUUUAUGCUUCGAGGGACCUUCUAAACGAAUUUCAGCUAGGUUGAAAUGCACCCCGUGAGUAAGUGAGUGAGAGAGAGAAAAGGGGGACCGGUUAUUGCUCGGCAUUCCUGACCGUCGUCCAGAUGUCAUCGGCCAAGGCAACCUCGCGGAAAAAGGCAAGCGGAGGACACGACUUUAAUACGACGGUAUCGGUUUCAGUCUUCGAAUACCUCGUGUUGCUUCCAAGAGCUUGCCUGUCAGACUCGCGGAACGUCUUUCAGAUCCAGUCGGCUUUAUGAGACGAACAUCGACCAAGAAAAUAGCCUGAUGAGAUUAAAUACCAGAAUGGAAUCCCAAAGCGCGAAACCAAGUAACGGAUUCUAACCGAAGAAAAACUAUUUCCUAUUGUUCGCAACUUCUAACAACCUGAAGAUAUAGAAGAAAAAAUAUAUGUACAGCGAAUGAAAGAGUUGUUACGUGCCGGGUUCAAGAAUACACAGGACGCAACACGAGUUCGACUCCAUAUACGAUCACUCUGGAAAAAGGAAUAUUAUAAGUGAAGUUAGUUAAAAAAAUACUAUCAUUCUACCAACCUAGGUAGCGAUGCCAAGUAAAAUUCAUAAUAGUAACACGCAAAAUUGAAUGAUUUGAACGGCAAGAUUGAGAGCGAUCUUUUGAAUUUGAUCUCUAACCUUGAUAACUUAUGGCAAUCUGUAGCGACGGGAACGAUCAUCAAAGUACUACGUUUUGUAAUUUCGAAGAAACGAUUAGGGAAUUACUCACAAUCGGAGAAAGAAAGAAAGAGAAAGAGAGAGAGAGAGAGAGAGAGAGAGAGAGAGAGAGAGAGAGAAAAGUUGAUAAAAAUGCAAGGUAGAAACGUAUGGGAAUUCGAUCAUCCCGUAGCGCGAUUAUUAUUACUUCUCCUAACGGCA